UUCCGGUUGAUCCUGCCGGAGGCUACCGCUAUUGGAGUUCGAUUAAGCCAUGCGAGUCGCGAGUCUUAGGGACUCGGCGUACCGCUCAGUAACACGUGGGUAACCUGCCCUAUGCUGGGGGAUAACCUCGGGAAACUGAGAAUAAUACCCCAUAGUUCACCACGCCUGGAACGGUGGGUGGACCAAAGCUCCGGCGGCAUAGGAUGGGCCUGCGGCGUAUCAGGUUGUAGGGGGUGUAAUGUACCCUCUAGCCCUCUACGCGUACGGGUGUUGAGAGACAUCGCCCGGAGAUGGAUUCUGAGACACGAAUCCAGACCCUACGGGGUGCAGCAGGCGCGAAAACUUGGCAAUGCGAGAAAUCGUGACCAGGGAACUCCAAGUGCAUCGGGUAAGACCGAUGCUUUUCUUGACUCUUCAAAGGUCUUGGAAUAAGGGGUGGGUAAGGACGGUGCCAGCCGCCGCGGUAAUACCGGCGCCCCAAGUGGUAGUCGCUUUUAUUGGGCCUAAAACGUCCGUAGCCGGUCUGGUACAUUCGUGGGUAAAUCAACCAGCUCAACUGGUUGAAUUCUGCGAGCACGGCCAGACUUGGGACCGGGAGAGGUGUGGGGUACUCUCAGGGUAGGGGUAAAAUCCUGUCAUCCUGAGAGGACCACCUGUUGCGAAGGCGCCACACUAGAACGGAUCCGACGGUCAGGGACGAAGCCUAGGGGCACGAACCGGAUUAGAUACCCGGGUAGUCCUAGGUGUAAACGCUGUGGACUUGAUGUUGGGGGCGCUCCGAGCGCACUCAGUGUCGAAGCGAAGGUGAUAAGUCCACUGCCUGGGGAGUAUGGUCGCAAGGCUGAAACUUAAAGGAAUUGGCGGGGGAGCACCGCAACCUGAGGAUUGUGCGGUUUAAUUGGAUUCAACGCCGGA
rnacentral:rRNA from 1 species